rnacentral:lncRNA from 1 species
AAAAAGAAAAAAAUAUAACUUUUUAUGAUUGUAGGAAAAAUUGACUGUUUAUUUAGAGAGGAUAUAACGUUUUUUAUAUAAAUUUUUUUAUUAAUUAAUUAACUUAUUUAUUUAUUUUAAAUUUGCAACUUAGAACAAUGGAGAAACAAAGUAUUUGAAUAAAAUCAUUACCUUACCUUCCUAGCAUGAUUUACUUUGUAAUUUUU